rnacentral:rRNA from 1 species
CCCCUAGAUGUUCUGGGCCGCACGCGCGCUACACUGAACAGUUCAACAAGUCUUAACCUUGGCCGAUAGGUCUGGGUAAUCUUUGAACGCUGUUCGUGAUUGGGAUAGACCUUUGCAAUUAUGGGUCUUCAAAGAGGAAUUCCUAGUAAACGCAAGUCAUCAGCUUGCAUUGAUUACGUCCCUGCCCUUUGUACACACCGCCCGUCGCACCUACCGAUUGAAUGGUCCGGUGAAAUCUCGGGACGGCGGCUUGGUCGCUUGCGUCCGACUGCUGAAACUUGAUUAAACCAUAUCAUUUAGAGGAAGGUGAAGUCGUAACA